UUUUGGGUGUGGCUGUACCCGCAGCCUAUUUUUGGCACACGGAGGCACCUCGCAAAGUCUCGCGCCAUUCCGAGUCCGGCGGACGAAGUUCGCCAGCCCCACCCCCCAAUGCUAUAGCCCAACCGUUUUUGUGGCCUUUUUCCGCUGCACGAACUUGGCGCCCCGGCCUUCGGGCGGUUAUUUUUGGGCACGGCUGUGCCCGCAGCCUAUUCUUGGCACACGGAGGUGCCUCGUAAAGUCUCGCGCCAUUCCGAGUCCGGCGGACGAAGUUGGCGAGCCCCACCCCCCAAGGCUAUAGCCCACCCGUUUUUGUGGCCUUUUUCCGCUGCACGAACUUGGCGCCCCGGCCUUCGGGCGGUUAUUUUUGGGCGCUGCUGUGCCCGCAGCCUAUUUUUUGCAAACGGAGGCGCCUUGCAAAGUCUCGCGCCAUUCCGAGACCGGCGGACGAAGUUCGCCCGCCCCACUCCCCAAUGCUAUAGCCCACCCGUUUUUGUGGCCUUUUUUGGCAGGACGAACUUGGCGCCCCGGCCUUCGGGCAGUUAUUUUUGGGCGCGGCUGUGCCCACUUCCUAUUUUUGGCACACGGAGGUGCCUCGCAAAUUAUCGCGCCAAUCCGAGUCCGGCGGACGAAGUUCGCCAGCCCCACUCCCCAACGCUAUAGCCGAUCCAUUUUUGUGGGUUUUUUCCGCUGGACGAACUUGGCGCCCCGGCCUUCGGGCGGUUAUUUUUGGGCGCGGCUGUGCCCGCGGCCUAUUUUUGGCACACGGAAGCCCCUCGCAAAGUAUCGCUGCUUUCCGAGUCCGGCGGAUGAAGUUGGCCAGCCCCACCCCCCAAUGCUAUAGCCCACCCGUUUUUGUGUCCUUUUUCUGCUGGACGAACAUGGCGCCCCGGCCUUCGGGAGGUUAUUUUUGGGCGCGGCUGUGCCCGUGGCCUAUUUUUGUCACACGGAGGCACCUCACAAAGUCUCGCGCCAUUCCGAGUCCGGCGGAUGAAGUUGGCCAGCCCCACCCCCCAAGGCUAUAGCCCACCCGUUUUUGGGGCCUUUUUCCGCUGGACGAACUUGGCAUCCCGGCCUUCAGGCGGUUCUUUUUAGGCGCUGCUGUCCCCGCGGCCUAUUUUUGGCACAAGGAGGCACCUCGCAAAGUCUCGCACCAUUCCGAGUCCGGUGGACGAAUUUGGCCAGCCCCACCCCCAAGGCUAUAGCCCACCCGUUUUUGUGGCCUUUUUCCGCAGGACGAACUUGGCGCCCCGGCCUUCGGGCGGUUAUUUUUGGGCGCGGCUGUGCCCACAGCCUAUUUUUGGUACACGGAGGGGCCUCGCAACAUCUCGCGCCAUUCCGAGUCCGACGGACGUAGUUGGCCAGCACCACCCCCCAAGGCUAUAGCCCACCUGUUUUUGUGGACUUUUUCCGCUGGACGAACUUGGCGUCCCGGCCUUCGCGAGGUUAUUUUUGGGCGCGGCUGUUCCCGUAGCCUAUUUUUGGCACACGGAGGUGCCUCGCAAAGUCUCGCGCCAUUCCGAGUCCGGCAGACGAAGUUGGCCAGCCCCACCUCCCAAGGCUAUAGCCCACCGGUUUUUGUGGCCUUUUUCCGCUGGACGAACUUGGUGCCCUGGCCUUCAGGUGGUUAUUUUUGGGCGCGACUGUGCCCGCGGCCUAUUUUUAGGACACAGAGGUGCC
rnacentral:lncRNA from 1 species